UUCGCAAUGCCCGAAAGGGUGACGAAGCGACGCCGCGUGCGGGAAGAAGGCCUUCGGGUUGUAAACCGCUGUCGGGAGUUAAGAAAUGCAAGGGUGUUAAUAAUAUCCUCGCUUGACUAAGGCUCCGGAGGAAGCCACGGCUAACUCUGUGCCAGCAGCCGCGGUAAUACAGAGGCGGCAAGCGUUGUUCGGAAUUAUUGGGCGUAAAGAGCACGUAGGCGGCUGUGUAAGUCGGUUGUGAAAGCCUUCCGCUCAACGGGAGAACGGCAUCCGAUACUGCAUGGCUUGAGUGCGGGAGGGGAGAGUGGAACUUCUGGUGGAGCGGUGAAAUGCAUAGAUAUCAGAAGGAACGCCGGCGGCGAAAGCGACUCUCUGGUCCGUAACUGACGCUGAGUGUGCGAAAGCUAGGGGAGCAAACGGGAUUAGAUACCCCGGUAGUCCUAGCCGUAAACGAUGGGCACUAAGUAGAGGGGUUUU
rnacentral:rRNA from 1 species